rnacentral:misc_RNA from 1 species
CAAAUAGAAGCAGCCACACAAACACUUAACAUACGACACGGGUAAGUGAACUCAAAUUGACAAUUGCAAUGCAAACGGCUCGUACGAAGCAGUUACCUUUUGGAUCCAGCUACGCAGGCUAUCCCACGACAAAAUGUACGCCGAAAUGAACAUGGUAAACCGACAAACUGAUGACCAUGCUAUGUGAUGGAGUGAUAUCAAAUCCAGCAGAACUUUCCGCUAUCUUGGAACAUCCCCACCUUUCUAUGUUCCAAUUUUAAGCGAUCAGACAUUGAAGAAGCCAUAGCUACACAAUUUUCCACAUUUGCACCUAAAACAGAAACCUGAUGUUCGUGUUGUUGUUUUUUUGCACUGAAUAUGAUAUAUAAAAGACACUCAUGUGUCAACUAACACACUUGCACGUGUAGUCCAAAAAACGUUUAUUAUAAUACUAAGUGAAGCAAUAUGGAAUGUCUAAAUUGAUGUAUUGUUUAAUUCAAACCUAUUAGUGAUGUUACAAUGAAGGAGUGUAAUCGAAAUUUCAUAAGUUUGGUUCAACCAAUAUGAUAAUAGAUAAUAAAAACCCAUAAUCAAUUAUGUGGGGAAAUGUUAACGGUUAAAUGUUCCUCCAGUACAGAUGAUGGAAUUAAUGUAAAUAUACUGGGGUUGAUGUUUGGUUUCAUGUGUACAUACAAAAAAUAAAUGAAAUACAUGUAGUUAUUAAACUAGCCUUGUAUAUAGUGUGUAUGAAGUAGUAUAUAAUCAUGUAAAUAAAUAUUCCAAUGAAACCGUUAA